GAUGAACGCUGGCGGCGUGCCUAAUACAUACAAGUCGAGCGAACGGACGAGAAGCUUGCUUCUCUGAUGUUAGCAGCGGACGGGUGAGUAACACGUGGAUAACCUACCUAUAAGACUGGGAUAACUUCGGGAAACCGUAGCUAAUACCGGAUAAUAUUUUGAACCGCAUGGUUCAAAAGUGAAAGACGGUCUUGCUGUCACUUAUAGAUGGAUCCGCGCUGCAUUAGCUAGUUGGUAAGGUAACGGCCUACCAAGGCAACGAUGCAUAGCCGACCUGAGAGGGUGAUCGGCCACACUGGAACUGAGACACGGUCCAGACUCCUACGGGAGGCAGCAGUAGGGAAUCUUCCGCAAUGGGCGAAAGCCUGACGGAGCAACGCCGCGUGAGUGAUGAAGGUCUUCGGAUCGUAAAACUCUGUUAUUAGGGAAGAACAUAUGUGUAAGUAACUGUGCACAUCUUGACGGUACCUAAUCAGAAAGCCACGGCUAACUACGUG
rnacentral:rRNA from 1 species